rnacentral:misc_RNA from 1 species
GAAAUGCGAUAAUUAAUGUGAAUUGCAGAAUUCAGUGAAUCAUCGAGUCUUUGAACGCACAUUGCGCCCCCUGGUAUUCCGGGGGGCAUGCCUGUCCGAGCGUCAUUGCUGCCCUCAAGCACGGCUUGUGUGUUGGGCUUCCGUCCCUAGCAACGGGGACGGGCCCAAAAGGCAGUGGCGGCACCAUGUCUGGUCCUCGAGCGUAUGGGGCUUUGUCACCCGCUCCCGUAGGUCCAGCUGGCAGCUAGCCUCGCAACCAAUCUUUUUAACCAGGUUGACCUCGGAUCAGGUAGGGAUACCCGCUGAACUUAAGC